rnacentral:tRNA from 1 species
GCUAUAGCUCAGUUGGUAGAGCCCCGGAUUGUGAUUCCGGUUGUCGUGGGUUCGAGUCCCAUUAGC